AUAGAAACUUGUUGUGAGCCCUUGGUACUCCCUAUGGCCAGUUUUUGCCUCCAAUCUCCGUUAAUUCAGAUUCCUUAUCCGGAAGCAUAAUGUUUAAGGGAAGAUGGGAAGUGAGCCUGGAACAGUUGCUAAGGACUCAGUGUGACAUCAUGUUGAUAAAGAAACACCAGGAAACAAACUCCUGCUGCAAGACUUCUAGAAAAAUGCCAAUCUGCUGUUUGUGAGGUCUGUCUGACUUGUGUUCCAGACGUUAAAACAGACACCACAGGAAGGAUUCUGGGGUAUACUGAAGACCAGCUGAGACAUGCAACCUUGUAGACUGAACAAUUACUGAAUUCCAGAUGGACCACAGACUUUAAGCAGAACCAGUCCACACCAGCAGGUGCCCUUUGGAGAAGACGGGAUCCAUUACAAAGGUCCCAGGAGUCUUGGAAAACCCAGGUGCCUGCUUUUGUUUUGCACUGUAUUUCUAGAUAGCUCAUCUAAACUCAGCAGCUUGCAAAGCAGCCCUCAGAAG